AAGAAAUUUAAUUCGAUGCAUCUCUCUGGUGGCAACAUCGCAUACUGCUCCACGACGAUCCAUUUCUAUUCGAUUGACAAAAAUGUGAACUAAAUAUUUUACAAAAACGAUUUCUAACAGAUUAUAGCAAUAUUUAUGGGAAUUAGUUUGUUACAGCAUUUCCGCUCAUUUGCGCAAACAAUCGUUGUUCGCGUAAUGUUUCUAGGUUGAUUUAAACGAAAUUAUUAUUGAUGACAGCAAUAUGAUGGUAAUUGAAGAGAAACUUGUGCUAAGCACCUAUUUCUUUUUUUAUGCCAAGGAACGUUUUAUUAUCUGACCGGCUUCAAAUUUCGCUUGCUUUUAAAAUAAUCGAUAGUUCAUCGAUUGUUUCUUGUGACCAUGAAGUACAGAGAAUAGGAAGCCGAACUUAUAUGGAUGAGGCCGUCGAAAAGUGAGGUCAAAAGUGGUCAUCUGAAUUAGUUCAAUCGAAAGGUGACAGACAUCGUUCUCACAAUUUGCAUGGGACUCCGCACAAUAAAAGACAGAGAGAACAGAGAA